GGGUGAGGGGGGAAAUACAGUCGCCCAAGAAAUUCAAGUUGUGAAGCAAAAAAGGUUCCGGCUUCAAUAGAUCAAUCAAUGCACUUUAUCUUUUUUUAGUUCUGCAUUAUUUCUUUUUUGGUUUUCCUUUCUUUUCUAACAUCAUGACACUACAAUUUUAUCUAAAAUGUUAACUUUCUUUCACCAUGCUUGGACCUGGACACUUUGUUUUGAUACAAUAGGAAAUGUUGGAAAAAUAGUUGUUGAUUGUAGUUUUGCUUGGUGACUUUGCUUAUGCUGCGUUGCGUUCUAUUUUCUUAAAUGAACAAAUCCAUGGUACAAAGAUUAUUACCUUGUGAUUUUUGUUUAUGUAUACAAAUCUAUCAUUGGAUGGUAAAACUUGGGUCCUAUGAAUACUUGCGACAAGCAACUUGUGGAUAAAACAAAUAAAACAUAGAAUAUUAACUACAAGCAACUUAAGAAUGA
rnacentral:lncRNA from 1 species